rnacentral:rRNA from 1 species
GAUGAACGCUGGCGGCGUGCCUAAUACAUGCAAGUCGAGCGAACAGACGAGGAGCUUGCUCCUCUGACGUUAGCGGCGGACGGGUGAGUAACACGUGGAUAACCUACCUAUAAGACUGGGAUAACUUCGGGAAACCGGAGCUAAUACCGGAUAAUAUAUUGAACCGCAUGGUUCAAUAGUGAAAGACGGUUUUGCUGACACUUAUAGAUGGAUCCGCGCCGCAUUAGCUAGUUGGUAAGGUAACGGCUUACCAAGGCAACGAUGCGUAGCCGACCUGAGAGGGUGAUCGGCCACACUGGAACUGAGACACGGUCCAGACUCCUACGGGAGGCAGCAGUAGGGAAUCUUCCGCAAAGGGCGAAAGCCUGACGGAGCAACGCCGCGUGAGUGAUGAAGGUCUUCGGAUCGUAAAACUCUGUUAUUAGGGAAGAACAAAUGUGUAAGUAACUAUGCACGUCUUGACGGUACCUAAUCAGAAAGCCACGGCUAACUACGUG